AAUUAAUGGCUUAGGCAUUGGUUUGGGAUGGGGAUGGGGAGUUUGUUGGAUGUGGCCAUGUGAUAUAUUCAAGGCGAUCCAUAAAGAUACAGUCAAUCUAUUUAAGUCGAUCUAUAAAGAUACGAUAGAUCUUAUGGUUAGGAUAUAUCUGGCCACGUCUUUGAUGGUCGACGGACGUGAUUUAACAUCCUUACAUUAAGUUAUAUAUAAAUAUGUAACAUACGGGAGUCCCGGUUUAACCCUAAUGCAAUUAUCUGUGACAGCUCCAUCUCCGGGGAUAAGGG
rnacentral:lncRNA from 1 species